GAUGAUACAGCUCAGUGGUACAGCAUUUGCCUAGCACGUGAGAGGACCUGGGUUCAAUCUCCAGUGCCACA
rnacentral:tRNA from 1 species